GAGGGAGGGGCCGCAGCCCCCCCCCAAAAUACAGAAUUCGGCGCCCCCUUUUUGGGGGGACCCCAAAAAUCCAAAUCCCCCCUCUCUGUCGGGUGAGAGGAGGAAAAUUCCCGAAGGAAUUCCCGAGGGAAUUCCCGGGAUCGGGGGAAUCCUGGGAAAACCCCGGGGGAGGGAGCAGGGCCGGGUCUGUCCCUUUAAAUUCGGAAUUUUAUAUUUUUUUAUCCAUUAAUUUUAAUUUUUUUUAUUUAAUUAAUAAUAAUAAAUAAAAACCUCGAGGCUUUAAAAAAAAAAAAUAAACCCCAAAAAAACCCGCCAGGAAUCAAAGGAGGAAGGGAAAAAAAUGAUUUAAAAAUUAAUGAGUGAGCCCCAGGAAUUAAUUAAGAAUUAAUUAAAACUUAAUUAAGCCGAGGAGGAAAAUUGGGGACGUCACCCAUGGGACCCCCAUUUUUGGGACCAUCCCCAUUUUGGGGACCUUCUCCUUUUUGGGGACCCCCUUCAUGGGACCCUUCAUUUUGGGGACCAUCCCCACCUUGGUGACCCCAAUUUUGGGGACCCCCCCCCAUUUUGGGGACCAUCCCCACCUUGGUGACCCCCCCAUUUUGGGGACUUUUAAUGGGACCCCCCCAUUUUGGGGACCCCCACUCUAAUUUGGGGACCCCCCCACUUUGGGGACCCCCCAGUUUGGGGACAUCACCCAUGGGACCCCCAUUUUGGGAACCGUCCUCAAUUUGGGGGCCCCCUCAUGGGACCCUCCAUUUUGGGGACCUUCUCCACUUAGGGGACCCCCAGUUUGGGGACUUCCCACCCAUGGGACCCCAAUGGGACCCCCCAUUUUGGAGACCGUCCCCACCUUGGUGACCCCUCCCAUUUUGGGGACCUUCUCCAUUUUGGGGACCCUUUAGGCCUUGGGGACCCCCCCUCAUUUUGGGGAC
rnacentral:lncRNA from 1 species